rnacentral:rRNA from 1 species
GACGAACGCUGGCGGCGUGCUUAACACAUGCAAGUCGAACGCAAAGGCCCUGCUUGUGCGCUGCUCGAAUGACUAACGAACGAGUAACACAAUACGUGAUCUGCCCCUUACUUUCUCAUAAACCUGCCAGGCUGGCUCUAAUACUGAAUAGGACCAAGCUGUCAGCGGUGUGGGGGAAAUAUUUUUUCUUUAACGGAUGAUCUCACGGCCCAUCACCUUGCUGCUGGGGUAAUGGCCUACCACUCCCUCAACCGACAACCGGCCUGAGACCUUGGACGGCCACCUUGCGACUGAGAUACUGACCACACUCCUAACUCAUGCAGCAGGGAGCAAUAUUGAACAUUGCGCACUGGCCUGAUGCCUCAACGCCCCACGCCGCAUGACGGACUACGGCCUGCAAACUCCUUUCCUCCUUUACCAAGCCUCAUUUGAAGUGACCGUAACGUUAAAAAAAACACCCGGUAACUUCCUUCCCACCACCCCCGUAAUACCUAAGGUGCCAGCCUUUUCCCGAAUUACUGGGCCUAAAAAACUCCUAAGUGGUCUGGCCCCUCCUUCUGGAAAACCCCGGGCUUAACUCCCGGUUGUGCAGUGAUACCGGCAUGACUGGAGUACUGUAGGGGAGACUGGAAUUCCUGGUGUAGCGGUGAAAUGCGCAGAUAUCAGCACGAACACCGAUGGCGAAGCUGUGUCUCUGGGCAGUAACUGACGAUGAGGAGCGAAAGCAUCGAUCGCGAACAGGAUCAGAUACCGUGCUAGCCCAAACCGUAAGCCGUGGGCGCUAGGUAUCAGUUUCCUUCCUCGGGAUCCGUGCUGUAGCUAACACAGCAAGCGCCCCGCAGGGGGAGUACGACCGCAAGGCUCAAACUCAAAGGAAUGGACGGGCGCACGCACAAGCGGCAGGAGCAUGAGGAUUAAUUCGACGCAACGCGCAAGAACCUUGCCUGGGCUUCACACGCACCGGACCCGACCAGAUAUGUCCGCUCCCUGGGAGGCGGGUGCACAGGUGGCACAUGGUUGUUCUCAGCUCGUGUCGAGAGAUGGGGGGAAAACUCCCGCAGCGAGCGCACCCCUUGUUUCGUGUCCCCCGCAUGAGGUUGGGGACUCGCGGGAGACUGCCGGGGUCAACUCGGAGGAAGGUGGGGAUGACGUCAAAUCAUCAUGCCCCUUAUGUCCAGGGCUUCACACAUGCUACAAUGGCCGGUACAGAGAGUUGCGAUACCGCGAGGUGGGGCUAAUCUCAAAAAGCCAGUCUCAGUUCGGAUCGGAGUCUGCAACUCGACCCCAUGAAGUCGGAGUCGCUAGUAAUCGCAGAUCAGCAACGCUGCGGUGAAUACGUUCCCGGGCCU